rnacentral:rRNA from 1 species
CCCUUAGACGUUCUGGGCCGCACGCGCGCUACACUGACCGGUGCAACAAGCAUCCGUCCUUGGCCGACAGGCCCGGGCAAUCUUUGAACGCCGGUCGUGAUGGGGAUAGACUUUUGCAAUUUUUGGUCUUCAACGAGGAAUUCCUAGUAAACGCAAGUCAUCAGCUUGCAUUGAUUACGUCCCUGCCCUUUGUACACACCGCCCGUCGCACCUACCGAUUGAAUGGUCCGGUGAAGCCUCCGGAUUGGCGCGCACCUCGGUGCCGCCGAGAAGUUGGCUAAACCUUACCAUUUAGAGGAAGGUGAAGUCGUAACA